ACGGCUCUCUCUUUCUCGUUCCUUCUUUCACGACAAAACAAGAGAAAAUCUCUCUUCUCUCCCAAUCGCUUGCUGUAAACAAGAAAACAACACAAGCUCUCACUCGGUUUGUCAUCUUUCUCUUGCUGAAUUCUCUCUCAAGCGGUUGAACAAACAACACCAACCGAAUCUCUCACUCUCGGUUUGCUCUCUCAUGGGUUCUCUCUUCAUUCAGCGAACCACAACAACUUAAGCUCUCACUCUGGUUUCUGCCUUGCUCUCAAUUGAACAACAACAACAUCAAAGCUCUCACUCUCGCGGUUCCCGCUUUCACUCGCGGUGCUCAACUCUCUUUUGCUGCGAACAACAACAACAAAGAAUCUCUCACGCUUGCUCACGGUUCUCUCGGUGAACAACAAACAGCGGCUUUCUCUUGGAACAACAACGCUGAACCAACCUCUCUCGGCUUCCCGGUGGCCAUGGACGAACAAGAGAUUAAAUGAUAAUUGGAAGGAAAUUCGAGUGAAUUGAAGCAGACGUUCAAAUCAGUGCAGCAUAAAGAACAGACUAGCAUCAAAAUUCCUAAGAGGAAGUAAGGAAUAAGAACCUGAUCGGAGCAAGUCCGAUGAACCAGUUCUGGCGUCGGCUUUUUGACAGGCUCUCUUUUGAUGAAGAUGAUGCAACAAAACCUCUUUGGAUUCGCGGGAACUUUGGAUAUUAAGGAGACUUGAAGUUCAACUUCAAGUGGUUGGAAGCUUGAAGAUGAAGAUCUUCAAGUAAGGUAUGAAGAACUACCUUUUCACUCUUUGUAACUAGAACACUCACAAUAUGAGCAAUAGAGAGAAGAGAGAAAGCAAGGACUCAAGUUGCUUUGGUGUGAUUUGCAAUGAAGUGAACACUUCUAUUUAUAGGAAAAGCUUAGGAUGUGUUUGGCAAUUGGUAAUCUUGAUUGGCAAGUUUCAAUCAUUGCAAGAUAAGAAAAAGAAUAUAUUCUUCAUCAUUGCAAGAAUAAAAAAUAAGAAUAAGAAUAUUCUUAUGCAAAGAUAUUUUUCAUGAUAUAAGCCAUGUGUGUAAAUUUUUAUGUCAUUUUAUGAUAUCUCUAAGUUGCAUAAUUUUAUGACAUAAAAAUCUCUCUUUGGCUUUCUUUGACUUUUGCUAAUUUCACCCCUCUUUUGUUUUCUUUUUCAUGUCACAUGAGAACUCUUGAAGAAAGAAUGAAGAAUCUUGAACUUGAAGAAUGAAGACUUUGAAGAUUGAAGAAUUCAAGAAUGUCUUUGAAGUUUUAUUUUUCUUUUCCUUGUAAUUCCAACUUUGUAUGAAUGAAACUUUGUAAUUCUUGAAUUUUAAAUAAAGUCCCUUCAUUUGUAAUUCAUUUGUUCCAUGUAAA